AUAUAAUCAUGAAGCUGCACAAUUAACAUGAAGCAAAAUUAGGAUUCAACCAGUGUGUAGAAGAUUGGGGUUAAUUUGCAGAAAUUCAGCUCCGGUGAAGAGAUCCGUCGCCGGAGAAAUGUCGGAUUAUUUGCCUCAAGAAUUAUUGGUUGAUAUCUUCACAAAACUACCAGUCAAAUCAAUCCUCCGAUGCAGAAGUGUUUGCAAGUCAUGGUAUUCUCUUCUUACUAGCCCUAGCUUUACCUUCACACAUCUCAAUCGACAACGAGAUAAUCAUAUGCUGAUUAGGAAUUACGGUAGAAACACUCGAUUAGAUAUGUAUCCUUUGUUUGGUAACAAUGAGAGGUUGGAUCCCGACCAUUUCUCAGAUUUUUCAUUUCGUAGAGGUUCCGUUAGUAUAGUGGGUAGUGUUAAUGGUAUUUUGUGCCUCGCCGACACCGACGCCGACACCGACGCCGACACCGACAGCGACGCCGACGCCGAUGCCGAUGCCGACUCCGCCAUCUUGACCCAUUUAUAUUUUUGUAACCUAUCCAUCAGAAAGUCGGUAAAACUCCCUGAACCAAUUCGUAGUACCUAUCGUUUCACACUGGGGUUUGGGUUUGAUUCGGUUACUAAUGACUACAAGGUGGUAAGAGUAGUACACGCUAUGGGACAAUCAAAGCCACAUGCUGAUCUUUAUAAGUUAAGUACUGGUGUUUGGGAAGACAUUUCCAAUGUCCCUGAGCCUUACAAAUUAAUUUCCAUUGAGCCACAGGUGUAUGUGAACGGCGCUUGUCAUUGGAUUUCUACUAAAUUGGAGUUGACGCCAGCUCGGAGGAAUCGGAGGGUGAUUCUUGUGUUCAACAUGCAUGAUGAGACAUUCUCAGAUAUGAUAUUGCCGAGUAGUUUAAUCAGUGAGUCACAAACACAGUUUGAUGAAGUCUUCCUUUUUGUGUCAGAGGGAUGUCUUUGUUUGGUUGAUAAUAACUAUGACAAACGUGAACCUAUUAAGAUUUGGAUGAUGAAAGAGUAUGGUGUGCCAGACUCAUGGGAGAAACAGUUCAGCAUCCAAAAUUAUCACUUUGCACUACAUUUUCCUCUUCGUGAAGAUAUCUUUUGGACACCUUACCUUGGAACGGCUGCUCCAACUGAGUUUGAGUUUGCUAAUGACUUUAUUAAGCCAAUGGCUAUAAGGAAAAAUGGUGAAAUCUUAUGGAAAGGUUACCAAAGAUUAUUGGUUUCUGUUGAUCACACAAUUGGUAGGUUUACAGAUAUUGACAUUGGUAACUCAUCAAAUGAUUGGUGUUACAAUCCACGCUAUGUUAAUUUUUACAAAGAGAGCCUUGUUUUACCUGAUAGAUGGACAAAUAAUUGUGUUGGAGAUGCUUGUGAGGAGUCAUCCGAUUUAUGGAAGAGAGACCCCAAAGAUGGGAAAAAAAGGAUCUCAAGGGCAAAAUCUAAUAUAGAAAGCGGAGUGCAUCUCUUUCUCACAUGAGUGGAUUGCGGAAGAAAGAAAGGAAGAGUAGUUGGACUUGAAGUCCUUUAGCUCAGGUUCAGGCUGGCAUUGAAGACCUCUUUGAUGUAUUGUGUAAGGUCAAAGUUUCCAUGAGCCAGAAGUGUAUGGCACAUUUAAUUCUCUAGGUUACUGAGCUUCCCUUGUUUCCUGCUUUUGACAAAGGAAAUCCUCACUCCAUCUAUGAGAAAGGUUCAACAUCAGGUCUUGUAAUAAAAACUUGCUGUACAGCUAAUUUAGCCACUGCCAUUCAUUAUUAAAGGUUUCUGCCCUUGUUUUGAAAUUACAGAAUUCUGAAAGAGUGACCAUUGGAUCUAACCAUAAGCUAAACUAUAGUUCCCGUGACAGACGACUAUUGUUGAACAAGUGACAUUCCAUCAACGACAACCGCUUGUUCAGCAAUGAUUCUGCUGCCAAGUGAACUUUGGUUUGCACUGGCGCAACACUUCUGUUAAGGUAUGUGAGCCUGUGCUGCUUAUUCUGAUGUGUGUGUGUUUUCCCUGUCGGAGGAGAGGGACAUUAUUAAAAGAUAAUUUUUUUGGUCCUUCUACUUGUAGACGACAUAUAAUAAUUAACUUGAUUUACAACCAAGGGUAAUAUUGGUAUUUCCUUUUGACAUUUUUCUUUGCUUAUUUCUGUUUUCUCCAUUAGCCACCACAAAAAUUUUAUUCCACUGAUUUUGCCUUUCAUGCCUGCACUCGGAACAUUUUUGCUCCAAACAGGGAAGAGCUUUCUUACUCUUUCCUGUUUGUUUGUUAUAACCACAAAUAAAACAAACACAAAUUUACAGGGGUCACCCACUGAAUUUAGUAGAAAAGAGAUCUAAAACAUAAUGGAAGCAUGUCUGUCAAUUUCCAAACGUUUUCUUCUUAUUUGUCCAUUUUUAAUUGCACUUACAAUUUUCAAGUCAGCUACUUCAGUUUUUGAUCAAAUCUGGCUUAAUCUUCUCAAGAUUGUUUCUUCCAAUUUUCCAGGUUAGCUAUUUCUUCAAUUCUCCGUAACGUUUUCUUUUUGAAUGUUGUCUGAUCCGUAAACAUUCCUAUAUUCCUUACUGCCAUCUUUGUAUGUAAAAGGAUAUCUUUCUUGACGUUUGGUUUAUGAUAAAUAUAUUUGUCUAAGUUCUUUUGUUGCAAUUUUUGCAUUGAAAUCAACCUUCUCUAAGGAGUUGGAAGUGACCAAGGAUAUGCGACUCAUACCUUAUCGCUCUGCUAAGUAGUGCUCUUAACAAAAGGAAGGUAAAAUCGAUAUUGGUUGUCAAUAAGAACAGCAAGUCCAAACUUUUAUUGUUUUAGGUAUAUUGGCUCCCUAACAGUACCACAGGAUGUUAUCUGGAAUACUAAUAGAAAGUUUUACAGGUGAAAACCAAAUGAAACUGAUCCCAGAUGCUGUUCAUGACGCGAGUUGCUGCCAAAUUUAUAAGAGUUUUUUCCUAAUUAUGAUUCAUCCAUUAUAGUAUUUUUCUGGACUUCUUUUUUUUCCUUUUGUUGUUUAUCACAGGAAUCUGAAACCAAUGCAAGACCAGCUCAGCCACUUAAACAGAAGUGAAAUGAUUUUGUAGCUAUAGUUUCAGAAAGCAUACCUUACACUCUUUAAAUCAUAUUGUCGCUAUUGCUGUUGAUCAUAUAGAAAUCUUUACAAACUUUUUUUAAGU